CUUGUGAGAAGGCAUGGGGAAAGACAGGGCAGUGAGUCUUGCCACUGGGUAAGCGGUCCUGGGACGCUGGUUUUGCCCCAGAAAUAGGGAAGUGGCCAAACCACUUUCGUUUUUGUUUUGUUUUGUUUUGUUUUGUUUUUUGUUAUUCCCUUCUCUAAUGAACAAUCUCUAGGCUUCUGUGUGCAGGAAAAAAAGGUGGGGGGUGGGGAGCAGAGAGGGCAAGAGGAGCCUUUCAAACACGGGCCCACCAGACAGAGAGUACUGCUAAAUUCUAGACCAGGGGUGAUGCCCUUCCCACCCUUUGUGCCAGGAGCGCCCCCUUCCUGAAGACCACCCCCAGGGCCCGGCUCUGCCGGCAGCCAAUGGGAGGCUAGGGCCCACCUAAGCGGCCUCGCCGGCCAAUCGCAGGCGAGCCGGCGGGGGCGCUGCCCGCGGAGGGGAGGGGUUUGGUCUCCGUCAGGUGCGCGGAGAUGGCCCCGGGGGUUGGCCUGGCUGGGGGCGCGUCUGUACCUUGUCUUUGGGGUUCCUCCUUGUGGGACCGGUUCUUGCCGAGCUUCAUGGCGGAGAACACACUUCUCCCAGCUCUGUGAGGCGAGCCGCCAGAAUGAGAUGGAGGGAGAUGGACGCCGGGAGGAAGACACACAAACACAGGAGAGCAAAACCCGAGACAACACCGAUCCUGGGAGGUACAUAUGCUUCUCUUCAUUCAACCCAAGAAGAGACUGAGGCUCAGAGCUAGAGUUGAAGCACACUGCUCCUGCCCCCUCUGCCAGAACUGCUACGUCCUGAGUCCCGUGGGAUUGCACUUCUCUGUCAGUGGCGAUCCCAUCCUGACCGUUCGGAACUUCAGUGAAAAGUUCCCAGGGCCUGCACUUGUAGGUGUACGUAUGGGCCGUGUGCCAACGCAGUGUGCAGAUGGGGGUGCCAUCUGUGAAGAGCCCCACAGACGGUGCCCAGGCUUACAGAGGAGACGCUCACUCACAAAUGGUCUUAGCAUCAACGCAUUUUGGAAGAGGCUGCUGUGAAAGUUAAUGACUGGUAAUGAAACGUCACACAGGUCAAUGACUUGUGGCUUUCUGACACUGGUCCCGAGGACCCACCCAAGUGGAAAAGGGCCUGGGGCUUCCCCUGGGCAGUUAUGGCCCUUGAUUUUGAAAGUCACUUUAUUUCUUAAAACAAACGUAUUUGGAAGCAGAGAUUGAGACUUAAAAAAAAAAACAAAAAACAAAAACUAUACUAUCCUACAAUUCUCUCCCUGAAGUCAAUCAAAGGAGAAGCCCCUCUUCUCAGACCCUGCCUCACUAACCAUCUCCGGUGGACAGGUAUACAGGCGGUACUCCUGUGUGCCUGGGGGUAUCUCAAAAUGAAGAUUUAUCCCUUAAUGAAAAAUGUGGAACGUGUCGGGUGAAUGUAAUGUCCAGAAUUCGUACGAAUUUUGUUCUUCAGUUCAUCUGGACAGCGUGCACUAGAGCGUGAUGGCCUCAGCUCUCCCUGCCCUUUGGAAUUUUCUGGUCGAUGACACAUCAGAAGUUGACCAUAGAAACAGUCUCUUCUGCCUAGUGCUGCACCGCUUCCCAGAAACGGCGUGCCUGCUUCUCCCGGCCAAGGGUAAAGGUUAGUUUUGAAAUAAAUGUUAAUUUAGUCAGGGAUGUUCGAAGAUUAUCGGCUUGUAUCAAAGACUUAGAUUUCCAAACUGUGUAAUUCUUUGAUGAGGUUGCUGGUACGCUGGGGUCCUGAGUGUUUGUUCUUGUUUUUAAAUAAAAUGCGGCAGCUGG